UUCUGUCUGCCUCUGAAAUUUUGUUUCCCCUAUUCACACAAACCCUAGACCCUUGCUUUCCCGUUUGGUUUGAUCGUUUGAUUUUUGUUUCAAUGGGUGUUUCAUCAAAUUUUUGUUUCUAGGGUGAAGCCAACUCUCAAAUUUCGAUCUGAAGUCUUCGAUUUCGUAGGUUCUCCACUUCACAACUAUCAAUUAAAGCUUCAUUGAUCUUGGAUUUUCUGGAUAAUUUCUAUUUAAUCGUUGCAGAAGAAAUAUCAUAUGAAUUAUAAAAGAUUAGGGUAUUCAGCUGAAGAGGUUACACCUGAUGAAAUUUAGGAGGCAGAGUUUAAUCACAUAGACGAUGCAGAGGAAAGGAAUAACCCUUGAAUUUAUGAGGGGUUCUAUGGAGAACACAAUCUUUGACCAGCAAACCUGCUAGAAUGUUCUACAGUUUUGGAAUGUUUCUAUGGAGAACAACUGCGAAAUGUAGGAGGCAAAGUUGAGCAUCUUAGGAGCACUGAUCUUAGGAGCACUGCAUUAGCUGAUACAUUAUCCAGAUGAAUGAUUUAUAAUUAUAAAUUUUUGACGGACAAUGGAGCGAGUAGACACAACUCAUUAGAGUCUUCAUUCCAGAAUGAGCAUUAUAUUUGCGUAAGAAUUAGGAAACUUCUGUUGUCUCAUUGAUGUAACACAAUCUAUUCACUGCUGCAAAGUUAGACGAUCAA